CCUACGGGUGGCAGCAGUGAGGAAUCUUGGGCAAUGGGCGGAAGCCUGAACCAGCCAAGUCGCGUGAGGGACUAAGGCCCUACGGGUCGUAAACCUCUUUUGCCGGGGAUCAGUGCCCAGCUCGCGAGCUGGGAGGGAGCGUACCCGGAGAAAAAGCAUCGGCUAACUCCGGGCCGGCAGCCGCGGUGGUACGGGGGAGGCGAGCGUUGUCCGGAUUUAUUGGGGUAAAGGGGUGCGUAGGCGGGCCUUCAGUCCGGCGGGAAAAUUGCGGGGGUCAACCCCGCCGAGCCGUCGGAACCGGGGGCCUUGAGUACCGGAGAAGUACGCGGAAUGCGUGGUGUAGCGGUGAAAUGCAUAGAUAUCACGCAGAACCCCGAUGGCGAAGGCAGCGUACCGGCCGGUCACUGACGCUGAGGCACGAAAGCGCGGGUAUCGAACAGGAUUAGAUACCCUAGUAGUC
rnacentral:rRNA from 1 species